rnacentral:piRNA from 1 species
UGGGAAGGUGAUAGCUUUGUGCACUGUCU